UACGUAGGGGGCUAGCGUUAUCCGGAAUUACUGGGCGUAAAGGGUGCGUAGGUGGUUUCUUAAGUCAGAGGUGAAAGGCUACGGCUCAACCGUAGUAAGCCUUUGAAACUGGGAACUUGAGUGCAGGAGAGGAGAGUGGAAUUCCUAGUGUAGCGGUGAAAUGCGUAGAUAUUAGGAGGAACACCAGUUGCGAAGGCGGCUCUCUGGACUGUAACUGACACUGAGGCACGAAAGCGUGGGGAGCAAACAGG
rnacentral:rRNA from 1 species